AAAAGGGGUUUUUGCUUGGGUUUUUGAGUAAUUCCGAAACAGUGUGUAUCGAUAACAGCCAAGUUUUGUUGUAGUCAGCUCGGUCGUCAGCGGUAAAAAAUUCCGAAUAGCAGUUUUGUGUGCGGAAAAUGUGGAAAAUUCACGCUCAGCUGCGUGAAUUUUCCGCAUUUUCCUCACGGGAGAAAAUAUAGUGUGUGGUGCAGUGCUGAAUCAUUCAACAGUUGCGGCAUUUCAACAGUGACAAGGACGUCAAGCCGGUGCGCGGUGCAUAAGCAAUCAACCCAGAGCUUGUUGAAUGCCGAUCUAAGCAAGAUCUGCAUGAGGGCCAACGGACUUAUUGUAAAAAUACUAAUUUCCCUUCCUUCAAUUUGACAGCAAUCUUGACUGCAAUAGUUUCAUCAUCAAACUUUUUUUCGUGAAAUCAAAUGUGAAACAUAUUACUGAGUAGAACCGUAGAACCAUGUUUUGCAUUUGGUAGCUUUGCAAGGUUUUUAAAUCUAGGUUCGCUCUUUAAACUUGGAACACAUGCAUGCCUUUGAAUCAAAUUCUAUAUUGUAUGCUGUAUUCCACAAGCUGUAGUUCAUCAAAUGUCCAUAAAUGCUACAAUAAUGGUUAAACACGCUGUAAUGUUACUUUUGUACCUCAUCACCCACUAAAUGCAACUACAUUAGUGGUCUAAUAACACUUAGCGCGCUUCGGCACGGUUCCAUCAUGCCGCUUAUAGUGUUGCCACAUAUAAUGCUUAUCUGCUAAACCCAGUUAUCUGGCCAGUGGGGCAUGGGAGCCCAAGCUUCAAUCAUUAAUGCAAUUAAACAUUACUCGGUUUACGACAUGAUUGAUCCAAAUAUUAGAUAAUUGUUCGAUCUGUGUUCUUAAAAUGUAGCCCUGAAUGUAGCAUAAAAUAUACAAGCUUCUAGUCCAAAUGCAUAAAGAUAGUUCAGAUUCACUGUUUUUCAGAAUUUUCUCAAGCAAUCAGUAACAAAAGUAAAAAGCAGAAAUAGAUCAAAUCAUGCCAAAAUGUUCAUAAU